UGUUAAAAUUUUCAUCUAUUUCUACUGUUAAAAACUAGUAUGGUUAAUGGAAUAGUUAGACAGUUACACAUGACGUGCCACAUGUACCUCAUUCUAGCGUACAAAGAUUGAUUUUUAACAAUAAAAAUUGAUGAAAUUUUUAACA
rfam:Gossypium hirsutum cultivar TM-1 unplaced genomic scaffold scaffold559.1, whole genome shotgun sequence